GAUGAACGCUGGCGGCGUGCCUAAUACAUGCAAGUCGAGCGAACGGACGAGAAGCUUGCUUCUCUGAUGUUAGCGGCGGACGGGUGAGUAACACGUGGAUAACCUACCUAUAAGACUGGGAUAACUUCGGGAAACCGGAGCUAAUACCGGAUGAUAUUUUGAACCGCAUGGUUCAAAAGUGAAAGAAGGUCUUGCUGUCACUUAUAGAUGGAUCCGCCCUGCAUUAGCUAGUUGGUAAGGUAACGGCUUACCAAGGCAACGAUGCAUAGCCGACCUGAGGGGGUGAUCGGCCACACUGGAACUGAGACACGGUCCAGACUCCUACGGGAGGCAGCAGUAGGGAAUCUUACGCAAUGGGCGAAAGCCUGACGGAGCAACGCCGCGUGAGUGAUGAAGGUCUUCGGAUCGUAAAGCUCUGUUAUUAGGGAAGAACAUAUGUGUAAGUAACUGUGCACAUCUUGACGGUACCUAAUCAGAAAGCCACGGCUAACUACGUG
rnacentral:rRNA from 1 species